rnacentral:lncRNA from 13 species
AUGUCCCCAGGAGCUUCUAGUUAUGGGGGGAAAGAGGGAAGGGAAAAGGAGGUAAUUCCUGCAGGGGGUUUUAAAGGAAACAGGAAUACACCCAACAAAAUUCAGGUUGUAGUUAUGAUUUUGUUUAAAUACACAAUAUUUCCAGAAGACUAUCCAUUUCACAGAAGAAACCACAGAGAAAAAGCUACAGCUCUCAAUCAAAUCCACCGUCCCAACUGUUUGCGAGAUGACACGGAAGCACUCUGUGGUUUUCUUGCGACUUUCACCGUGGUCCGCUCCACUGUCCUGGCUGGCUUUGCUGAGGUGCUGCCGUGUGCCAGGAACUGCGCUGGACGCUCCAUGUGCACCCACUUAUUCCAUCCUCACAACAAAUCUGUGAAGCCUGCGUGUUAUCCACUUUAAACAGAUAAGCCAACAAACUCAGAAGGAUUAAGCAGCACCACGUGACUCAAUUUAUCACGUCACAUACACAUGCACCUGGAUGGCGGCGUGACGUUGCUGAAAAGAGUUGUCGCCAUAAAUCUCAAAGUGAUGAGCUUAAGCAUCUACGUGGAAGAAUAUUAUGUGAGAGACAAUUUAUAGAAUCUGAGCACAUUCUAGCCGGAGAGACCUUGGAUAGGACAUAGCUCAGGAUCUCAACCCCCAACCACAGACAAGAAAAAAGUCUGCAAAAAUGAGGAGGACUCACAAGUGCUUCCUCUACUGUGACAGCAGUUGUGAUCCAGAUGUUCAUUUUUCUCGAACUUCUCUUCUCCAUUCCUUCUCACCAGAGUGGAUGUGUAAGGUCAGAGCACAAAGUGGGCUGAGAAGCACUCUGUUUAAUUCAAUACCUUCAAUUUAAAUGACGCCUGGAUUUAAAAAAUAGUGAGAAGUCAGAGAUGACCCACUUCAGGACCUCCUUGAUCCUACUUUUUACCUGCCUCCAAUCCUGCAUGCUGGACAUUCAAGCCACACUUGGAGGAAUCACUGUGGCCUUCCCUCAUAAAAGGUCCUGCGUGCUCUACCCAAAAAGUAUUCAACUCCUCCUCAUUUAAUUUCAAGUUAGCACUUUGUAUCCAUGAUCUCUUCCCCUCUCUCACUGUCAAGAAAAAUGUGAUAUGGUUUGGCUCCAUGUCCCCACCCAUGUCUCAUCUCUAACUGCAAUUCCCAGUGUUGGAGGAGGGGCCUGAUGGGAAGUCACUGGGUUAUGGGGACAGUUUCUAGUGGCUUAGCACCAUCCCCCUAGUGCUGUCAGGUGAUGGAGUUCUCACGAACUCUGGUUUAAAAGGUGUGGCACUAGCCAACAAUGGGCACACAUACAUAAAAGGUGUGUAGCACCUCCCCUCCUUGCCCUCUUCCUCCUGCUCCAGCCAUGUCAAGUGCUAACCUCCCCUUCACCCUCUGCCAUGACUGAAGCUGGGCAGAGGCCACCAUGCUUCUUGUACAGCCUGGAGAGCCAUGAGCCAAGCGAACCUCUUUUCUUUGUAAAUGACCCAGUCUGUGGUAUUUCUUUAAAGCAGUGCAAGAACAGCCUAAGACAACACGCCUAAGGACUGAAUAGGUCUAAGAUUUAAUGUUGCCCUGUUUGUGAUAAUAGCAAGUGAAAGAGGAUAGGUAACUGCAGUCUAGCAUGUCAUUCAAAAAGAAUGGAUUUAUAACAAUGGAGUGCUAUGCAUCAUGGCAGGCAGAAGAAGAGUAUAUUUGGAAAUAAGGUGGUGUUAUGGACUGAAUGUUUGUGACCCCCCAAAUUCAUAUGUUGAACCUUCUAGCCCUCACGGUAGGAGGGUAUUAGGAGGUGUGACCUCUGGAAGGUAAUUAGGUCAUGAGAAUGAAGCCCUCAUGACGGGAUUAGUGUCCUUAUAAGAUGAGAUACCAGAGAGCGUGGCCCUUCUCUCUGCUCUCCACCGCGUGAGGAUACAGCAAGAAGGCGGCCAUCUGCAAACCAGGAGGAGAGCCCUCACUAGAUGCAGGAUCUGCCCGCACUUGGAUCGUGGAUUUCCAGGCUCCACAACUGUGAGAAAUAAGCAUGUGUGGUUUAACUCUCCAUGUCUAGCGUCAUCUGGUACAGCAGCACUAGCUGACCGAGACAGGGAGCUUCACAGCACUUUACGUAUAUAUUUUUACACAUAUUUUUCUCAGUUCUUGUUUCAUAUUUCAAGUGUUGUAGCUUACAAUUUAAAAUAUUGGGUUGGAGGAAUUUAGCAAAUAUCAUGCCCCUAAAGUUAUUUAAUUAAUAUUCUCUGAAGCAGACAGCUUGAAUAUAAAUUAUAUGCUAGGAGGCAUUGUCUAUCCUGUUGAACCGUGGUUAUCUGCAGUUUUAAACCAUGUAAUAGAAAUGACCUCCUCUGCCCUUCAGUCUUCUCCACUAUUCUGGCAGGUUUCUAUGAUGACUCAGACAAGUGAGCUGCUGUCCUGAUCCCAAAGACUUCAACGAAAAGAUUCAUCCCCUAUCUUUUCCUCUCAUUUCAAUGUUUAAUAUCACUCGCCAUCAUGGAAUGCUUUCCAAUCUAAACCCUUCCCAUGACAAGGUGUUAAUAGUUACUAAGUACCACAGAAGGCCUUGAGGUAUUUAUUUAACAGACAAAAAUAGUUUGAGCACUUUCAGCAUCCAAACAGCAUAUUAGACAGUACAGAUAAGAUGUUCCAUGUAGCCCACGCCCAGACAAAGAAAUGAAAAGGCAAAUGUAGCCACUCUGGUAAGUCACGGUAAAUGUAAAAUAGUUAAAACUUAUGUAAUACUGAUAAUCAUAACAAAAACUACUCUGCUAAGAACUUUACUAAAAAUAACUAAUUUACUUCUACACCAUAGAGUGUUAUUAUCCCCAUUUUAUAGAUGAGAAAACUAAGACGCAGGUUAAGUUAUUGACUCAAGGACAUAGAACUAGAAAGUGGCACAGCUCAGAAUUUAUUGAUUAAAUGAAAUUUUAAGUUUUCUAAAGUAUUUUCAAUAUUUCUCACUUUCGUGGCCUCAAGGAACUCAUAACCUUUAUUUAAAAGAAAAAGAAAUCUACUCUACAUGUAAAUGUGCCACGCAAGUGUCUCCAUUUGUUAUCAAACUAUCUUGGUCUUAGCUCAACUUCUAAAAUGACUUUUAAAGAGUAAAGUUAAGAAGAUCACUAAACUGGACUGCAGGACCACUAUGCCAAGCACAUUGGUGUUUUGCCAGUUAAGCCUUAGUGUUGAAUUGUUAAUAUACUAAUCUUCUUUGACCUAAAAUAAAACCAUCAAAAAACAGAAAAAAAUAAUCUCA